AUUGAACGCUGGCGGCAGGCCUAACACAUGCAAGUCGAGCGGGGUUUUCGGACCUAGCGGCGGACGGGUGAGUAAUGCGUAGGAAGCUGCCCGAUAGAGGGGGAUACCAGUUGGAAACGACUGCUAAUACUGCAUAAUGUCUACGGACCAAAGUGUGGGACCUUCGGGCCACAUGCUAUCGGGUGCGCCUGCGUGGGAUUAGCUAGUUGGUGAGGUAAUGGCUCACCAAGGCGACGAUCUCUAGCUGGUUUGAGAGGAUGAUCAGCCACACUGGAACUGAGACACGGUCCAGACUCCUACGGGAGGCAGCAGUGGGGAAUAUUGGACAAUGGGCGCAAGCCUGAUCCAGCCAUGCCGCGUGUGUGAAGAAGGCCUUCGGGUUGUAAAGCACUUUCAGCGAGGAGGAAGGGUGGUGUGUUAAUAGCACAUCAUUUUGACGUUACUCGCAGAAGAAGCACCGGCUAACUCUGUGCCAGCCGCCGCGGUAACAC
rnacentral:rRNA from 1 species